rnacentral:rRNA from 1 species
UACGUAGGGUGCAAGCGUUGUCCGGAAUUAUUGGGCGUAAAGAGCUCGUAGGCGGUCUGUCGCGUCUGCUGUGAAAACUCAGGGCUUAACCCUGAGCUUGCAGUGGGUACGGGCAGACUAGAGUGCGGUAGGGGAGACUGGAAUUCCUGGUGUAGCGGUGAAAUGCGCAGAUAUCAGGAGGAACACCGGUGGCGAAGGCGGCAUCCUGGACCGAUAUUGACGC